rnacentral:rRNA from 1 species
UACGUAGGGGGCUAGCGUUGUCCGGAAUCAUUGGGCGUAAAGAGCGUGUAGGCGGCUUGGUAAGUCCGCUGUGAAAGUCCAGGGCUCAACCCUGGAAAGCCAGUGGAAACUGUCAAGCUAGAGUCCGGAAGAGGCGAGUGGAGCUCCUGGUGUAGCGGUGAAAUGCGCAGAUAUCAGGAAGAACACCAAUGGCGAAGGCAGCUCGCUGGGACGGUACUGACGCUGAGACGCGAAAGCGUGGGGAGCAAACAGG